UACGUAGGGUGCAAGCGUUUGUCCGGAAUUAUUGGGCGUAAAGAGCUUGUAGGCGGUUUGUCGCGUCUGCUGUGAAAUUUCGGGGCUCAACCCCGAACUUGCAGUGGGUACGGGCAGACUAGAGUGUGGUAGGGGAGACUGGAAUUCCUGGUGUAGCGGUGAAAUGCGCAGAUAUCAGGAAGAACACCCGUGGCGGAAGGCGGCUCUCUGGGACGGUACUGACGCUGAGAGCGAAAGCGUGGGGGAGCGAACAGG
rnacentral:rRNA from 1 species